rnacentral:rRNA from 1 species
CAGGAAAGUGCUUGCACUUUUGCUGACGAGCGGCGGACGGGUGAGUAAUGCCUAGGUAUCUGCCCAGUCGAGGGGGAUAACAGUUGGAAACGACUGCUAAUACCGCAUACGCCCUACGGGGGAAAGGAGGGGACCUUCGGGCCUUUCGCGAUUGGAUGAACCUAGGUGGGAUUAGCUAGUUGGUGGGGUAAUGGCUCACCAAGGCGACGAUCCCUAGCUGGUCUGAGAGGAUGAUCAGCCACACUGGAACUGAGACACGGUCCAGACUCCUACGGGAGGCAGCAGUGGGGAAUAUUGCACAAUGGGCGAAAGCCUGAUGCAGCCAUGCCGCGUGUAUGAAGAAGGCCUUCGGGUUGUAAAGUACUUUCAGCGAGGAGGAAAGGUUGAUGGUUAAUAACCAUCAGCUGUGACGUUACUCGCAGAAGAAGCACCGGCUAACUUCGUGCCAGCAGCCGCGGUAAUACGAGGGGUGCAAGCGUUAAUCGGAAUUACUGGGCGUAAAGCGUACGCAGGCGGUUUGUUAAGCAAGAUGUGAAAGCCCUGGGCUCAACCUAGGAACCGCAUUUUGAACUGGCAAACUAGAGUCUUGUAGAGGGGGGUAGAAUUUCAGGUGUAGCGGUGAAAUGCGUAGAGAUCUGAAGGAAUACCGGUGGCGAAGGCGGCCCCCUGGACAAAGACUGACGCUCAGGUACGAAAGCGUGGGGAGCAAACAGGA